AGACGUCUACAUUAGACUACCCCUGUAGUCCCAGCCGUAAACUAUGCGCGUUAGGUGUAUCGGUGACCACGAGUCACCGAGGUGCCGAAGGGAAACCGUGAAACGUGCCGCCUGGGAAGUACGGUCGCAAGGCUGAAACUUAAAGGAAUUGGCGGGGGAGCACAACAACGGGUGGAGCCUGCGGUUUAAUUGGACUCAACGCCGGACAACUCACCGGGAACGACAGCAAUAUGUAGGCCAGGCUGAAGACCUUGCCUGAAUCGCUG
rnacentral:rRNA from 1 species